rnacentral:rRNA from 1 species
AUUGAACGCUGGCGGCAUGCCUUACACAUGCAAGUCGAACGGUAACAGGUCUUCGGAUGCUGACGAGUGGCGAACGGGUGAGUAAUGCAUCGGAACGUGCCAAGUAGUGGGGGAUAGCCCGGCGAAAGCCGGAUUAAUACCGCAUACGACCUGAGGGUGAAAGGGGGGGAUCGAAAGACCUCUCGCGAUGGAAGCGCCCGAUGUCAGAGUAGCUAGUUGGUGGGGUAGAGGCCUACCAAGGCAACGAUCUGUAGUCGGUCUGAGAGGACGACCAGCCACACUGGGACUGAGACACGGCCCAGACUCCUACGGGAGGCAGCAGUGGGGAAUUUUGGACAAUGGGCGCAAGCCUGAUCCAGCAAUGCCGCGUGCAGGAAGAAGGCCUUCGGGUUGUAAACUGCUUUUGUCAGGGAAGAAAUCUUCUGGGUUAAUACCUCGGGAGGAUGACGGUACCUGAAGAAUAAGCACCGGCUAACUACGUGCCAGCCGCCGCCGUAA